rnacentral:misc_RNA from 1 species
UACGAAGGGGGCUAGCGUUGUUCGGAAUUACUGGGCGUAAAGCGCGCGUAGGCGGACUGCUAAGUCAGGGGUGAAAUCCCGGAGCUCAACUCCGGAACUGCCUUUGAUACUGAGGAUCUCGAGUUCGAGAGAGGUUGGUGGAACUGCGGGUGGAGAGGUGAAAUUCGUAGAUAUUCGCAAGAACACCAGUGGCGAAGGCGGCCAACUGGCUCGAUACUGACGCUGAGGCGCGAAAGCGUGGGGAGCAAACAGG